GGAUAACACUUGGAAACAGGUGCUAAUACCGCAUAACAGUUUAUGCCGCAUGGCAUAAGAGUGAAAGGCGCUUUCGGGUGUCGCUGAUGGAUGGACCCGCGGUGCAUUGGCUAGUUGGUGAGGUAACGGCUCACCAAGGCCACGAUGCAUAGCCGACCUGAGAGGGUGAUCGGCCACACUGGGACUGAGACACGGCCCAGACUCCUACGGGAGGCAGCAGUAGGGAAUCUUCGGCAAUGGACGAAAGUCUGACCGAGCAACGCCGCGUGAGUGAAGAAGGUUUUCGGAUCGUAAAACUCUGUUGUUAGAGAAGAACAAGGACGUUAGUAACUGAACGUCCCCUGACGGUAUCUAACCAGAAAGCCACGGCUAACUACGUGCCAGCAGCCGCGGUAAUACGUAGGUGGCAAGCGUUGUCCGGAUUUAUUGGGCGUAAAGCGAGCGCAGGCGGUUUCUUAAGUCUGAUGUGAAAGCCCCCGGCUCAACCGGGGAGGGUCAUUGGAAACUGGGAGACUUGAGUGCAGAAGAGGAGAGUGGAAUUCCAUGUGUAGCGGUGAAAUGCGUAGAUAUAUGGAGGAACACCAGUGGCGAAGGCGGCUCUCUGGUCUGUAACUGACGCUGAGGCUCGAAAGCGUGGGGAGCAAACAGGAUUAGAUACUCUGGUAGUCCACGCCGUAAACGAUGAGUGCUAAGUGUUGGAGGGUUUCCGCCCUUCAGUGCUGCAG
rnacentral:rRNA from 1 species